UACGUAGGAGGCAAGCGUUGUCCGGAAUUACUGGGCGUAAAGCGCGUGUAGGUGGUGGGACAAGUCUGCUGUGAAAGCGCCUGGCUUAACCGGGCGAGGUCGGCGGAAACUCUCAGACUGGAGGCCGGUAGAGGGGGGUGGAAUUCCCGGUGUAGUGGUGAAAUGCGUAGAGAUCGGGAGGAACACCUGUGGCGAAGGCGGCCCCCUGGGCCGCGCCUGACGCUGAGACGCGAAGGCUAGGGGAGCGAACGGG
rnacentral:rRNA from 1 species